AACUCGUGAUUAGGACAUAUUCUUAUGAUAUCUUUAUAUCUUUCCCAUGCGUCAAAAAGUGAUUCUCCUUCAGCUUGUUUAAGCAUAGUUAUUUGAUUUCUCAAUAC